rnacentral:rRNA from 1 species
UACGUAGGGGGCAAGCGUUGUCCGGAAUCAUUGGGCGUAAAGAGCGUGUAGGCGGCCAGAAAAGUCCGCUGUGAAAACUCGAGGCUCAACUUCGAGCUGUCGGUGGAAACUUUCUGGCUAGAGUCCGGAAGAGGAGAAUGGAAUUCCUGGUGUAGCGGUGAAAUGCGUAGAUAUCAGGAGGAACACCGGUGGCGAAGGCGCCUAUCUGGCCCGAUACUGACGCUGAGGCGCGAAAGCUAGGGGAGCAAACGGG